rnacentral:rRNA from 1 species
UCCGUAGGCGGGCUAAUAAGUCAGGGGUGAAAUCCCACAGCUCAACUGUGGAACUGCCUUUGAUACUGGUUGUCUUGAGUUACAGUGAAGUAGAUAGAAUAUGUAGUGUAGCGGUGAAAUGCAUAGAUAUUACAUAGAAUACCGAUUGCGAAGGCAGUCUACUAACUGUAUACUGACGCUAAUGGACGAAAGCGUGGGGAGCGAACAGGAUUAGAUACCCUGGUAGUCC